AGGGUUUGAUCAUGGCUCAGGAUGAACGCUGACAGAAUGCUUAACACAUGCAAGUCGACUCGAGUCUUUGGACUUGGGUGGCGGACGGGUGAGUAACGCGUAAAGAACUUGCCUCAUAGUCUGGGACAACAUUUGGAAACGGAUGCUAAUACCGGAUAUUAUGCUUUCUUCGCAUGGAGGAAGUAUGAAAGCUAUAUGCGCUAUGAGAGAGCUUUGCGUCCCAUUAGCUAGUUGGUGAGGUAACGGCCCACCAAGGCGAUGAUGGGUAGCCGGCCUGAGAGGGUGAACGGCCACAAGGGGACUGAGACACGGCCCUU
rnacentral:rRNA from 1 species